rnacentral:rRNA from 1 species
AACUAACGCUGGCGGCGUGCCUAACACAUGCAAGUCGUACGAGAAAGUUGGCUUCGGCCGAUGAGUAAAGUGGCGCACGGGUGAGUAAUGCGUGGAUAAUCUGCCCUUUAGUUGGGAAUAACGUACCGAAAGGUGCGCUAAUACCUGAUAAUACUGCAUAACUACUGUUGUGUAGUCAAAGAAGGCCUCUGUUUACAAGCUUUCGCUAAAGGAUGAGUCCGCGUACCAUUAGCUAGUUGGUGGGGUAACGGCCUACCAAGGCGACGAUGGUUAGCUGGUCUGAGAGGAUGAUCAGCCACACUGGAACUGAGACACGGUCCAGACUCCUACGGGAGGCAGCAGUGAGGAAUAUUGCGCAAUGGGGGCAACCCUGACGCAGCAACGCCGCGUGAGUGAGGAAGGUUUUCGGACUGUAAAGCUCUGUCGAGCGGGAGAAGUGUACCAUGGCUAAUAUCCAUGAUAUUUGACGGUACCGCUAGAGGAAGCACGG